rnacentral:rRNA from 1 species
UACGGGGGGAGCAAGCGUUGUUCGGAUUUACUGGGCGUAAAGGGCGCGUAGGCGGUCAGCACAAGUCAGUUGUGAAAUCUCCGGGCUUAACUCGGAAAGGUCAACUGAUACUGUGCGACUAGAGUGCAGAAGGGGCAACUGGAAUUCCGGGUGUAGCGGUGGAAUGCGUAGAGAUCCGGAAGAACACCAGUGGCGAAGGCGGCUCACUGGCCCGGUACUGACGCUGAGGUGCGAAAGCGUGGGGAGCAAACAGG